AAAUUGUAUCUCCACUACCUUUUAAAUAAAAGUAAUAAUAUUUCUCCAUGUCUAGUUUAUGUAUCAUAUCACAGGGCAUUGUUCUAAUGAAGGAAUGCACAAGUUUCUUGUAUAUCAAAGGAAAAAAGUUUUGAUGAUUAAAGUUCUGUUUAGUUGAGUCUGGGAUUCUGCUGGAGAUGAGUGUUUGAUUGUAUCUCAAGCAAGUCAUUCUUUUUGUCUUGCACUUGACUGUUUUAAAGCCAAGGUGUUUAACUACUUGAGCAGCCAAAUUUUAGCUUUCUCUCAUUGUUUCUAAUUUGACCAUCACACAUCCAGUUUCAUUUCUGAGCUAUUUUCUGAACUAUGUACUUGCUUUUUAAUGUUAGUGAGUGCACUAUUCCAUCCCUGGGGUGUCUUCAUGACCUCACUCUUAAAAGUUGACUAACGACUUGGUCACUGAGACUGGUGGUAUGAGUUGAUUGAAUGUUGAUCCAUUCCUGAAAUGCUGUGACUUGUGAGAUGGUACAAAAAGAUUGGGAGAAUAGAUUUUUUAAUUGAUCCUCUGAUGGAUUGUAGCCUUGAUUGAUCUCACCCCUUUUUAGGUUGAAAGGAACUAGUUGAUAUAGAGGUUUUAUAGACUGACAGGGAAUGGUUGAACCAUUCUUUGUUUUCUAUCGAGAGACUGAAACAUUACUGUUAUGGAGCUCUCUUCCUAUCAAAUAGACAUGAUGCUGAUGUAUUUUACGUGCAUGGAUAUUUUGGUUUUUCCAUCUUUGUUUCAUACCGUGUUCACUUAAUUUAAUGACACCUUUUGUUACAAGGAUGAGUAUGAUCUACGAAAUAUGUGUGGAGCUUUUCUAACACAAGUCCAAUGCUCCAGUAGUAACUGAGCAGAGUAGGGAGCUGAGAAGAGAGAGAAUCAACGGCCACAUCAUCCUGUUCGCCCAAUUCCAUCACAGCUCUGGUGCAAGAACUUUGGGACUAAAGAUUACAAUGACGUGCAGUAACUUUUGGAGCUUCAGUUGUAACUUUCAGCAUGGCAAAGCGCCUGUUGUAUCUUUUGAUUGCAGGUUUCAGUUAAUUGAGAAUGUUCUGGUAAUACUAGAAUAAGAUUUAAAUCGUACAACUUAAGGAGGGGGUUUGAUCAUACUGUUAAUAAAUUGCCCUGUCCUGUUUUCUGCCAUCAAGAAAAUGUUCAGACUGAUGUUUGAAAUUGCAAUUUUGAUGCUAUCUUUUUCCUUU